GUGCUGCGCCCUCUCAGCAUCGCUACUGCGCAGACUCGCCGCGGGUGCGCAGGCGCACGGGAGGGAUGGGCGCGCGGUGGCGCCCGGGUGGCGCCAUGACGUAGAGUGCGGUGGCCUCUCUGGCUUGACCUUCCCGGCUGCCUGCCCGUCUGCUCCCCCCCGCCCCGCCUGGCGGUUGCCCUUCCUGCAGCUGCCUAACUGUGUCCUUCCCGCCUGUCAUUCUUCCCCUUGAACCUAUUUCCUCGAACCGACGAGCACUUCUGUAUAGAGCAGGAGUGACUCCAUUUUGAAAUUGUGUCAUUGCGAAUACCUGGAAGUCAAGGUUUUAGCUUGUGCAUUGAUGGUGAACAUAGAACAAAUGACCAAGCAAUGAUCUUGUCUGGAACAGUGUUCGCAGACUUGUAUGACAGCCAGUUUAUCUUGGGCCCUUCAAGGGGCAAAAGAAUAAUUCCUCAUCAUUCUGGAUUUCCUCCCCCAGAGCCCUGCUCCACUCUGGCUUAGGUGGUGCUGGGGAUUGAACUUGGGACCUCAGAGCCUCAAGCAGGUCUGCAGGUCCAGGGAAACAGCAUGGACAGGUUUCAGGAGAGAUCAGUCAGGAAUGGCAGCAGUGCACAGAAGAUGAGGAGAACUAAAAGGGCAAGCAGGGAAAAGGGCACUGAAUGGAAGAAUAGCAAAACGGGCAAACUGCUCCCAGGUGGGAGGUGGGGGAGAGAGAUACUGCAGCACAAUUUCAACAUCUGUGGAGCUUCCCCUGGUGUGUUUAUGGUACUCCUGUGUGGUCCCAGGGUUUGAACCCAAGUCCUUGUACAUGGUAAGACAUCACUUGCCCUCCCCCUUCCAUUUAUUUUUUUUUGGUGAUACAAUAUUUAUUUAAAAGAGUUUAAAAGG